GCCCUUGAGAACUGAUAAUCUAGCAGAGGAAAGCAGGCAGACGAUGACCGACAAAUACGCUAAGUAAAUAAGCAAUAUUGUGAGUGAUAGAAAAACAGAAUUGUAGACUUGGAUUGGAAGUAAUGGCAGAGGAGGGGAAGAGUGUGCACGUUUUCAGGCAAGGUAGGCAGGGCUGGCCUCGCUAAUAAGGUGGUUUUCUAGCAAAGAUUUGAGGGAGACGAUGGAGGGGGUCUUGUGGUGUCUUGGGGAAGGGUGUUCUAGGGAAAGGGUCAGUGCAGAGGCCCUGGGCCAACAAACGUGCCUGCCACAAUCAGGGGCCAGCAUGGAUGCCUCGAGGCCAGAAUGCAGCAGGCAGGAGGCCGGACCAGGAACUGUCAAUUAGUGGUGUCUGGCAGUUACUAUAAAUCAAGGCCAGCAAGAUAAAAGAAACAGGCUGGUUUUGAGGCUGGGAUGAGAGCCAGCCCAGGAUGUUCAGGAACAAGGCGGCACCCCCAUCCUGGGGAAGAGCCUGCUUGAACUCAGGGUGAGGUGGCCCUUGACCUGCAGGCAAGACCAGGACCUGCAGUAGAGCUCUGCCCCUUAUGGAAGCCAGGACAGGGAAGCCCAAUGUCUUCUCCAACUCAAUAGCCCAC
rnacentral:lncRNA from 10 species